AAACUUAAAGGAAUUGACGGGACCCCGCACAAGCAGCGGAGCGUGUGGUUUAAUUCGAGGCUACACGAAGAACCUUACCAGGGUUUGACAUGAAAGUACGUUUUCACCCUCGGGUGACAGGGAGACAGGUGGUGCAUGGUUGUCGUCAGCUCGUGUCGUGAGAUGUUGGGUUAAGUCCCGCAACGAGCGCAACCCCUACGUUUAGUUGCUAACGCGUGAAGGCGAGCACUCUAGACGAACUGCCGUUGACAAAACGGAGGAAGGUGGGAUGACGUCAAAUCAUCAUGCCCCUUAUGUUCUGGGCUACACACGUGCUACAAUGGCCGGUACAGACGGACGCAAAGCCGCGAGGUGGAGCAAAUCCUAAAAAGCCGGUCUCAGUUCGGAUUGCAGGCUGCAAUUCGCCUGCAUGAAGUCGGAAUCGCUAGUAAUCGCAGGUCAGCAUACUGCGGUGAAUACGUUCCCGGGCCUU
rnacentral:rRNA from 1 species